GGCGGAGGAUGCAAGUGUUAUCCGGAAUCACUGGGCGUAAAGCGUCUGUAGGUGGUUUAAUAAGUCAACUGUUAAAUCUUGAAGCUCAACUUCGAAAUCGGAGUCGAAACUAUUAGACUAGAGUAUAGUAGGGGUAAAGGGAAUUUCCAGUGGAGCGGUGAAAUGCGUAGAGAUUGGAAAGAACACCGAUGGCGAAGGCACUUUACUGGGCUAUUGCUGACACUCAGAGACGAAAGCUAGGGUAGCAAAUGGG
rnacentral:rRNA from 1 species